CCUACUUUUUCUCCGCCACCUGGGCCGUGAUUGGGCGCGACCUGGGCUCCUGGGUGCUCAUUGGCGCCGUGAAGUGCUCGUCACCGCCCCCUCCUGCCCCUUCAUGCAUGCGCGGAGGCCGCCUGCUAGCAAGAGUUUUGCCCAGGCUGGAGUGCAACGGAGGAGAUUUCAGCUCACCUCAACCUCCACCUCUCGGAUUCAAGCGAUUUUCCUCCCUCAGACUCCUGAGUAGCUGGGAUUACAGGCAUGUGCCACCACACCCGGCUAGUUUUGUAUUUUUCAGUAGAGACAGAGUUUCUCCAUGUUGGUCAGGCUGGUCUCGAACUCCUGACCUCAGGUGAUCCGCCCGCCUUGGCCUCCCACAGUGCUGGGAUUAUAGGUGUGAGCCACUGUGCCCAGCUGAAAUAUAAUAGUUUUUAUGUUGACUUUGUAUUCCACAAUCUUUAUUUCUUUUAUUUAUUUAUUUAUUUAUUUAUUUAUGUAUUUAUUUAUUUAUUUUGAGACAGGGUCUCACUCUGUCACCCAGACUGGAGUGCAAUGGCACGAUCUCAGCUCACCGCAAACUCUGCCUCCCAGGCUCAAGCGAUUCUCCUGCCUCAGCCUCCUGAGUAGCUGGGAUUACAGGCAUGUGCCACCAUGCCCGGCUAAUUUUUGUAUUUUUGGUAGAGACAGGGUUUCACCAUAUGGGCCAUGCUGGUCUCGAACUCCUGACCUCAAAUGAUCCACCUGCCUCAGCCUCUCAAUGUGCUGGGAUUACAGGUGUGAGCUACUGCGCCCAGCUGUCCCACAAUCUUUCUAUUAGUUCUAAUAGCUUAUUUUGAUAAAUUCCUUAGAGUUUUUUAUAUACACAAUUAUGUUUUCUGCAAAUAAAGACAAUUUUCCUUCUUCCUUUCCAGUCUGU
rnacentral:lncRNA from 1 species